GUGACAGACAUUUGCUGGUACCUGGAUACAGCAGCUAGCAAGACAGAUGUGAUCCCUGCCUGCCCGGUGCUUAUACUUUGCUGGCAUGGAAAUGUCUCAUCCACACUGAAGCAAACCACUGAUUGGAUAUGAGCCAGAAUGGAAUAUGGUCUUGAGAACAGAGCUUUUGGCUCCUGGCUCAAGUGUAAGGAUGAAGUUGCCAGCUGGAGUUGAUGGAAUCAUCCUCAUGGAGAUGACUAACUACUGAGUUACUACUGCAUAACUACUACAGCCACACACUCUUCGAUGGUUUUCACAUAUGCUAACUCAUUUUCUCCUCACCAGAACUCUUUAAAGUAAGUUCAUUUAUUUUCCUCAUUCUAGACAUGAGGAAACUGAGACACAGAGAAGGCAAGGAACUUGUUUGAAUCCACACAGACACCAAGCUAUGCUUAGAUUUUGAACCCGCAAAAUAUGGCCCCUGAGUCCAUUAACCUAACGUCUGACUUCUGCCUCUGCUUCCCUUUCAUUGAGGUAUAAGCAAAGUGCACUAAGUCCAAGUGCACAGCUCGAGAAAUGUCUAUGUACAUUCUGACCCCUGUGUAGUUACUUUGUAGACCUGGCCCAUGUGUUCCAGGCCUUCCCGUAUCCCUUUCAGUAAGUUCUUCCCAAACUGACCACUGAGCUAAC
rnacentral:lncRNA from 1 species